GCCUUGUCCAGCAUGGUGGUGUGCAUCUGUAGUCCCAGCUACUCGGGAGGCUGAGGCAGGAGGAUCACUUGAGCCCAGGAGUUCUGGGCUGUAGCGUUUUGCAGAUUGGGUGUUCACACUAAUUUCAGCAUCAAUGUGGUGAUCUCCUGGGAGUGAGGGCAAUAAGGUUGCCUAAGGAGGGAUGAACCAGCUCAACUCGGAAACAGAGCAGGUCAAAACUCCUGAGCUGAUCAGCAGCAGGGUCGCAUCUGUGAAUAGCCACUGCACUCCGGGCUGGGCAACAUAGCACGAUCCUAAUCUCC
rnacentral:SRP_RNA from 1 species